rnacentral:rRNA from 1 species
ACGAACGCUGGCGGCAUGCCUAACACAUGCAAGUCGAACGAGACCUUCGGGUCUAGUGGCGCACGGGUGCGUGACGCGUGGGAACCUGCCCUUAGGUUCGGAAUAACUCCCCGAAAGGGGUGCUAAUACCGGAUAAUGUCUUCGGACCAAAGAUUUAUCGCCUUUGGAUGGGCCCGCGUUGGAUUAGCUAGUUGGUAGGGUAAAAGCCUACCAAGGCGACGAUCCAUAGCUGGUCUGAGAGGAUGAUCAGCCACACUGGGACUGAGACACGGCCCAGACUCCUACGGGAGGCAGCAGUGGGGAAUAUUGGACAAUGGGCGAAAGCCUGAUCCAGCAAUGCCGCGUGAGUGAUGAAGGCCUUAGGGUUGUAAAGCUCUUUUACCCGGGAUGAUAAUGACAGUACCGGGAGAAUAAGCUCCGGCUAACUCCGUG